rnacentral:rRNA from 1 species
UACGAAGGGGGCUAGCGUUGCUCGGAAUCACUGGGCGUAAAGCGCACGUAGGCGGAUUGCUAAGUCAGGGGUGAAAUCCUGGAGCUCAACUCCAGAACUGCCUUUGAUACUGGCGAUCUUGAGUCCGGGAGAGGUGAGUGGAACUGCGAGUGUAGAGGUGAAAUUCGUAGAUAUUCGCAAGAACACCAGUGGCGAAGGCGGCUCGCUGGGCCAUUCCUGACGCUGAGACGCGAAAGCUAGGGGAGCGAACAGG